GACGAACGCUGGCGGCGUGCCUAAUACAUGCAAGUAGAACGCAGUUGCGAACGGGUGAGUAACUCGUAGGUAACCUGCCUCAUAGCGGGGGAUAACUAUUGGAAACGAUAGCUAAUCCCACAUACUGUGAGUUGGCCCUGCGUUGUAUUAGCUAGUUGGUGAGGUAAAGGCUCACCAAGGCGACGAUAAAUAGACGACCUGAGAGGAUGAUCGGACACACUGGUACGUAUGCAACGCCCAGACUGCUACGGGGGGCAGCAGUAGGGAAUUGUCGGAAAUGGACGAAAGUCUGACUGAGCACCGCCGCGUGAAUGAAGAGGGUGCUCGGAUGGUAAAGCUCUGUUGUUAGAGAAGCGGUAACUAACCAGAACGGGACGGCUAACUACGUGCCAGCAGCCGCGGUAAUUC
rnacentral:rRNA from 1 species